ACGGCUACCUUGUUACGACUUCACCCCAGUCAUGAAUCACUCCGUGGUAACCGUCCCCCCGAAGGUUAGACUAGCUACUUCUGGAGCAACCCACUCCCAUGGUGUGACGGGCGGUGUGUACAAGGCCCGGGAACGUAUUCACCGUGACAUUCUGAUUCACGAUUACUAGCGAUUCCGACUUCACGCAGUCGAGUUGCAGACUGCGAUCCGGACUACGAUCGGUUUUAUGGGAUUAGCUCCACCUCGCGGCUUGGCAACCCUUUGUACCGACCAUUGUAGCACGUGUGUAGCCCUGGCCGUAAGGGCCAUGAUGACUUGACGUCAUCCCCACCUUCCUCCGGUUU
rnacentral:rRNA from 1 species